UUUUUAUGGAGAGUUUGAUCCUGGCUCAGGAUGAACGCUGGCGGCGUGCCUAAUACAUGCAAGUCGAGCGAACAGACGAGGAGCUUGCUCCUCUGACGUUAGCGGCGGACGGGUGAGUAACACGUGGAUAACCUACCUAUAAGACUGGGAUAACUUCGGGAAACCGGAGCUAAUACCGGAUAAUAUAUUGAACCGCAUGGUUCAAUAGUGAAAGACGGU
rnacentral:rRNA from 1 species